rnacentral:misc_RNA from 1 species
ACGUGUUCUUUCGGGGCGAGAGGGUCGGCCCUGCACCGGCGGAGACGCCGUGCUGCGGGCCCCCGAUCGUCCCUUCCAAACCAAACCCCUGUGCACCUUUGGGAAGGCGGAGUCCUCACGGGCGUCGCCGGCCCCUUUCACAAACUCUUGAUGUGUAGAAUGACCGCGGACAUCGUUCCGUCUAAACAAAUAA